GGAGUAUGAACCGUAUCUCAGUUCCAUUGUGGCUGUUCAUCCUCUCAGACCAGCUACUGAUCGUCGCCUUGGUGGGCUUUUACCUCACCAACCAGCUAAUCAGACGCAGAUUCCUCUCUUCGCGAUAAAUCUUUAAUCGUUAAGCCAUGCGACUCAACGAUAACAUCCGGAAUUAGCAUCUCUUUCGAGAUGUUAUGCCGGACGAAGAGGCAGAUUAUCUACGCGUUACUCACCCGUUUGCCACUAAGUUUAAAGCCGAAGCUCUAAACUCCGUUCGACUUGCAUGUGUUAGGCACGCCGCCAGCGUUGUUCCUCGAGCACGGAGUCAAACUACU
rnacentral:rRNA from 1 species